CACACACACACACACACACACACACACACAAAUAAUAAGUCUCUAUAUCAAUGCAUUUUUUAUUUAUUGACUAAUGUCAUGGACAUGACAAUCAUCUGAGCCAUCAUCAUUCAACCUGACAGCCAUCAUUGGGAUUACAGCCAUGACCCCUGGUGAAAGCAUGAAGCCUCAUAGUCACCACCCUGGUGACAGCAAGAGGCCUCAUGGGGUCACCCCCCUGGUGACACAGUGAGCCUCAUGGACCCGGUCCAGUUCAACCUCCCGGUCUCCUGAUGGGUUAGGGUCAGGGUUAGGGUUUACCAUAGCCCUGACCCUGACCCUAACCCAUCCUGGUCUCUGGAGGAUGUUGUGAACACAUGUGGUCGUCAGGGGAGCCUUCCUCGCCCAUUGUUCUACAUCUACACAUAGCAACUACAUUGUUUGGACAAUUCAUGUAUUCAUGGUUCUGAAGCCAUCCAGCUGCAUUUAGCUUGUUCUUCAGCACAAGCACGAGAACCAGGAGUCCUUUCAUCCAGUGAACCCGAACUGAGCGCAGAUCUUCACAGCUGAGCUGUAGUCGUGAUCCGAGGGGAGUCAGCCCAUGAAAGAAUCUAAAUGCAGCGGAGAACUGAACUGAUGAACACAACGUAUUUUUACAGUGAACCACAAUCUUGUGCCAUAAUAGAAAAAUAUUCCUGUGAUGUUGGUGGUGUCAUGUUGACAGACAUGAAACACUUGCUUUGUUCUCGAUGCGUUGUAAUGACGGACAAAUCCUUUGGACUAUAAGGAAACACUGUUUUCAAGAUAUCAUAUUUUUACACAUUUUAUUGAUAUAGUUCAUUGUCAUUUUAUAGCCGCCUUUCGAAAAAGAAAUAUAACAAAAGCUACAUUUAAUCAAGGUUUAUCGCUUAUCAUCGUUAACGCUCUAGAGAUUAUGUAAAGCCAUAACAGAACAUGGAGUCUUGAAACAUUCAAAACUCAUACGACAAACUGGCGAGAUUCUUUUCUUGACAUUAGCUUUUUAACGCAAUACAAAGUAAGUGCCUAGCACUAAGCUCCAACAGUGCAGAGGUGGGAUAUAUCGGUGGCCAUAUUGCUUUGAUAACACACAUUUAGUUGGGGGAAGGAGGAAGAAAGUGUAUUCUUGCUACAACUGAAAUGUUCUCUUAAUGCUGCAGUUUCUUUAUUGAUGAGGAGACUUUGCUGCCACCUGGUGGCCGCUACCUCCUCAAUGGCGGGAGGUUCGAACAACGCGUUCAUGCUGAAAUGAAAGAAGACAAAGCCAAAAGUUGUGUCGUCUCGUUUCAUGUGUCAUAGCAACAACCGGUCCAGUUUGGAUCACAGGGGAAUGAGAUGAGAUUCCUUUUGUUUCCUGAGUAAAUCCAGCCUUUUUCACAUUUAGUUGAUUAUCUUUCUUUCAACAUAUUUGCAUCGGCAAAAUGGAAGCCUCCACCUGCUCACCUGUGUAGCUGUGUGCGUUCGCCAUGUCGAAAUGUGUCUAUAGACUCUCUUCAAAUGACUCGCUUUGGCAUGGGGGGAGAAGGUACAGUGUUUAAGAGAGGGAUGGCGUCAUAGCAUACGUGAGAGGCAAGUAGCAUGAUAUGUUGUGACAGAAGUAUGACAUGUGACACGUGGAGGCAGCGUUUCUCCUGAGAGCAACACAGAGCGUAAACAUGAAUGCACCCCCCAUGGGAACGCGGUACAUGGUCCUCUCUACAUGGUCCACUCUGUACAUGGUCCACUCUGUAUAUGGUCCAGCUGUACAUGGUACUGUACUCCUGCUUGCAUACUAGUGUGUGAGAAGCGUGUCCUGUGAUGUCAUACUAGUGUGUCAGGGGCGUGUCCUGUGAUGUCAUACUAGUGUCUCAGGGGCGUGUCCUGUGAUGUCAUAUUAGUGUGUGAGGGGCGUGUCUUUUGAUGUCAUACUAGUGUCUCAGGGGCAUGUCCUGUGAUGUCAUAUUAGUGUGUGAGGGGCGUGUCCUGUGAUGUCAUACUAGUGUGUGAGGGGCGUGUCCUGUGAUGUCAUACUAGUGUGUGAGGGGCGUGUCCUCUGGGGUCUUGUGUAUGUGGGCGGCGCCAGUGGUUUCAAGCGUUGGAUUAUUCAAAGCGUCUCAUGAAUGGAGCUUUUGUGUCUCUACAGCUGAGCAUGCACACAAACUGCAUGUAUGUAGUUAGAGAUACGUGUGUGUGUGUGUGUGUGUGUACAUACACAUAUGCAGGUCUGUGUGUGUGUGUGUGUGUGUGUGUGCGUGUGUGGCACAGAGCGGUGUUAUCUAUGAGGCUGAUAUGGUAAAAAAAGAUUCAACAAUCAGUUAAUGGUUUCCACACAAUCCAACCCCAAUAAAAACAAGACUAAAGCAGACAGAAUGUACAUCACUGUAGCUAGUGAUCACUGUUUUGAUGUACUUCAACGUGUACCUCACCAGCAAAGAAAGGCUUGAAUUAGAAAAACAUAUUCACCUAAAAAAGUAACUACUUAAAAAAACACAAAUGACAUUGUAAUCAUUAAAUGGAAGUCCUUUGUAAUUAUCAACACAGUCUCUGGAAGCAUGAAACAAAAACAAAUGUCUGUGCGUAGGAGGGUGUGUUUGCCUUUUUGAAGGUCUUUUUCAAACCAAAAGAGCUUUUGAAACCGUGAUUGUCCAAAAGGGAAAGAUUGGGAGCUGAGCAGGUCCAGUGACUUGUGUACCAGGUACCACAUCACCUUCAGAGAGACAACCCCCCAGCUCUCUACCCAGACCAGGUACCACAUCACCUUCAGAGAGACAACCCCCCAGCUCUCUACCCGGACCAGGUACCACAUCACCUUCAGAGAGACAACCCCCACCUCUCUAC
ensembl:lncRNA